AGGGUGUGCAUGGUAGAGCUGCAGGAGUGGCCUAAAGGACUGUGCACAGGCCAACCCCAAAGACAGAGGAUGAGC